GUGAGUCCAUAAGAAGUGCUGUGUCAUUAGAGGGAGUGCAUCUGCAUGGCGACAGCUUGCAUUUCAGACAACUUGGGAACAGGCAAGAAAAAUAUAGAAGCAGCAUGCUCUGACUAAUUUUCUCAGCAUUCAGCCACAUGGCUGACUGGAUCACUUCUUGUUGCUGCAGAAAGCAGAAGAGGACAGCAGCAGAAUGACUCAAGUUUAACUUCUGUAAAGGAAAACAGCAAGUGUGGACCGUCUCACAAGACAAAACAUGCAGUCCACACAUUAUCUGAAAAUGUUCUUCUUGGGUGAUGCCAGGUUUGUUGUAAUGAAGACUUUCCCGGAAACUUCCAGUGGGGAAGUCGGUUCUGUCUGACAACUAACAAGCAUGGCAGCUCCCAUUCUCUUGUCAAGAUCAUCUUCAGUGAUUCUAAUCAACAGUUGUGGUCACUUUAUUGGGCGUGUGUGUGACAUACAUUAAAAGAUUAAAAGAAAAUUAGAAGAA